UACGUAGGGCCUAGCGUUGUCCGGAUUUAUUGGGCGUAAAGAGCUCGUAGGCGGUUCGGUAAGUCAGGUGUGAAAUCUCCACGCUCAACGUGGAGGCGCCACCUGAAACUGCCGUGACUCGAGUGCGGUAGGGGAGACUGGAAUUCCUGGUGUAGCGGUGAAAUGCGCAGAUAUCAGGAGGAACACCGGUGGCGAAGGCGGGUCUCUGGGCCGUAACUGACGCUGAGGAGCGAAAGCGUGGGGAGCGAACAGG
rnacentral:rRNA from 1 species